rnacentral:tRNA from 2 species
CAGCGUGUAGCUCAGUAGCCAGAGCGCCGGGCUUGGGACCCGGAGGGCGCGGGGGCGGAACCCGCCACGCUGGCUA